GGGGUUGUGGCUCAGUGGUAGAACGCUUGCCUAGCAUGCAUGAGGCACCGGGUUCAAUCCCUGGCACCA
rnacentral:tRNA from 1 species